GACGAACCGAGCGAACGUUAUUCGGAAUCACUGGGCUUAAAGAGCUCGUAGGCGGGCCGCCAAGUUCGAGGUGAAAUCCUCCGGCUCAACCGGAGAACUGCCUCGAAUACUGGAGGCCUCGAGGCGGGUAGGGGCACGCGGAACUGUGGGUGGAGCGGUGAAAUGCGUUGAUAUCCACAGGAACUCCGGUGGCGAAGGCGGCACGCUGGACCUCAUCUGACGCUGAGGCGCGAAAGCCAGGGGAGCGAACGGG
rnacentral:rRNA from 1 species